rnacentral:lncRNA from 1 species
ACCUGACUUGGCCUGAAGAGACAGACAAUGGCUCUUGCUAGCUAAUUAUUGUCAGAUGGAUCAGCAGCCGACCAACGCUUCUGAAACUAUUGUUUUUGGCAAAUGUUCCUCAACAUUUUCCUGGGAUGGGAUUUCACCAUGUUGUCCAAGCUGGUUUUGAACUCCUGGGCUCAAGAAAUCCA